rnacentral:rRNA from 1 species
UACGUAGGGACCAAGCGUUGUUCGGAUUUACUGGGCGUAAAGGGCGCGUAGGCGGCAAUUCAAGUCAUCUGUGAAAUCUCCGGGCUUAACCCGGAACGGUCAGAUGAUACUGCUUUGCUAGAGUGCGGAAGGGGCAAUCGGAAUUCUUGGUGUAGCGGUGAAAUGCGUAGAUAUCAAGAGGAACACCUGAGGUGAAGACGGGUUGCUGGGCUGACACUGACGCUGAGGCGCGAAAGCGUGGGUAGCAAACAGG